UACGAAGGGGGCUAGCGUUGUUCGGAAUUACUGGGCGUAAAGGGCGCGUAGGCGGUGUGUCAAGUCAGGCGUGAAAGCCCCGGGCUCAACCUGGGAACAGCGCUUGAGACUGGCACGCUCGAGUUCGGGAGAGGAUGGUGGAAUUCCCGAAGUAGAGGUGAAAUUCGUAGAUAUCGGGAGGAACACCGGUGGCGAAGGCGACCAUCUGGACGGAUACUGACGCUGAGACGCGAAAGCGUGGGUAGCAAACAGG
rnacentral:rRNA from 1 species